rnacentral:rRNA from 1 species
UACGUAGGGUGCAAGCGUUGUCCGGAAUUAUUGGGCGUAAAGAGCUCGUAGGCGGUUUGUCGCGUCUGCUGUGAAAACUCGGGGCUUAACCCCGGGCCUGCAGUGGGUACGGGCAGACUAGAGUGCGGUAGGGGAGACUGGAAUUCCCGGUGUAGCGGUGAAAUGCGCAGAGAUCGGGAGGAACACCCGUAGCGAAGGCGGCUUCCUGGGCCGCGCCUGACGCUGAGACGCGAAAGCGUGGGGAGCGAACGGG